CCUACGUGAGGCUGCAGUGAGGAAUAUUGGUCAAUGGCCGGAAGGCUGAACCAGCCAUGCCGCGUGAAGGUCAGUGCCCUAUGGGCGUUAAACUUCUUUUGUGCGGGAGCAAUAAUGGUCACGUGUGGCCAGACGAGAGUACCGUACGAAUAAGCAACGGCUAACUCCGUGCCCGCAGCCGCGGUAAUUAGGGGGAGGCAAGCGUUUCCCGGGUUUAUUGGGUUUAAAGGGUGCGUAGGCUGUGAGGGAAAUCAUGGGUGAAAUGCCCCCGCUCAAAGGGGGGAAGUGCCAUUGAUACUGCCUUGCUGGAAAGCGGAUGCCGUAGGAGGAAUGUGUGGUGUAGCGGUGAAAUGCAUAGAUAUCACACAGAACACCGAUUGCGAAGGCAUCUCACGAAUCCGCGAUUGACGCUGAUGCACGAAAGCGUGGGUAUCAAACAGGAUUAGAUACCCUAGUAGUC
rnacentral:rRNA from 1 species